CUUGGAUUUUUUCUGUCAUCUUGGAUGAAUCCUACAGACUCUAUAGAAACACAAUUGAGCUCCACAGGUCUGACUUGAAGUUUUCAGGAGUGAGUCUGGGCACAUCAAUUUUGAGGUUUCUUCUGGGAUAAUUUGUGGUGAAAUAAAAGCAACAAAAGGAAAUUCCAUGUACCUCCUUCAGGUUCUGAUGGAAGAGGAAUCCUCCCGCAAAGCGUGACAUGAUGCCUGACAUGGAAGUGUGUAUGAAGCAAAGGUGUGUCACUGAAUUCCUCCACAUGGAAAAAAUAGCCCCCACUGAGUGAGGCGCUGGGUGGUGUAUUUCAGUAGUGGUGAUGGAGA
ensembl:lncRNA